rnacentral:lncRNA from 1 species
AGUGCACUCAAAUUGAGAACACAGCUUCACAGGCAGAACACAACACACAGAUGCAAGGUCUCCUGAUGGCAGAAAACCUUAUAACAGACGGGGUUACUCCGUGUUAGCCAGGAUGGUCUCGAUCUCCUGACCUCGUGAUCCACCUGCCUUGGCCUCCCAAAGUGCUGGGAUUCUGUAAUCCCAGUGAGCCACCGCGCCUGGCCCAUAAUCAACCUCAGCUGCCAACGCCAGAAUCAACCUCAGCUGCCAAAUGCUAGACUGAAAAAAGAAUGUAAACAGCUUGAUGGAGGGGAGGAUCCUGGUGCACCUGUGGUUUUGACAGCUUUUGCUGCUGCUUGAGGAGGAAACAGGUUGCCUGUUUGUUCUUCAAGAGCACUUCUGGCAUCCAGGUAUUAUGCAGGCAUGCACUGCCAGCUGUGAAAGAUGCCGCUUCCUUGUCACUUCAGAGAAUGAUGCUUCUACAGAAGAUCCCUCUUGCUAUUUCAUUCAGGGAGCUCGGGAGAGGAAGACAAAAAGAAUCAAAUGCAAAGCACAGAUCAUUGAAAGGGCCAGGGUCUGAAGUGAGACAACUCGUGUCACAGUGUUUUCAAACUUGAGAAUGGUACAGUAAAUUAGAAUGACUUAAUUGUAGUGAUUUUAAAAAGAUAUGAGUCCUCUAAUGGAUGGAUUAAAGAAAAGAAUAGCAAGAAAAUGCACAUAUACCAAAUUUUGACUGCCCGUGUGUUUAUACAGCCAAUGUUCUGUUCUGGUCAAGAAGAAAAGUAAGUAAGAUAACCUGUUUAUGUCAAGACAUCACAGAUGAGAAAAAAUAGAAUAUUAAAUCAUUGAGUCAACUUCAUAACUGAAAGUUUUUAACUGAAAUAUAUAUGCUUCACAGAUAAUCUAACAA